rnacentral:rRNA from 1 species
UACAGAGGUCCCAAGCGUUGUUCGGAUUCACUGGGCGUAAAGGGUGCGUAGGUGGUUGCGCAAGUCUGAUGUGCAAUCUCCGGGCUCAACCCGGAAAUGGCAUUGGAAACUGCGUGGCUAGAGGGUUGGAGGGGGGACUGGAAUACUUGGUGUAGCAGUGAAAUGCGUAGAUAUCAAGUGGAACACCAGUGGCGAAGGCGAGUCCCUGGACAACACCUGAGACUGAGGCACGAAAGCUAGGGGAGCAAACAGG